AACCUGCUAUUGAGCAGCUGAUUUUUGGCAUAAUCUCAGCUGGCAACUGUGAGUAGUGUUUUCAUCCCUCUCACAGGCGCUGCUGGGGUUCUGUCACACACAGCACCUGCAAAACAAGACAAA
rnacentral:pre_miRNA from 8 species